GGAGAUGUGGCUCAGUGGUAGAGGUCUUGCCUUGCAUGCAUAAGGGCCUGGGUUUGAUCUCCAGCUCCGCCC
rnacentral:tRNA from 1 species